UACAGAGGGGGCAAGCGUUAUUCGGAAUCACUGGGCUUACAGGGUGCGUAGGCGGCUCAACAAGUCAGGUGUGAAAGCCCCCGGCUCAACCGGGGAACUGCGCUUGAAACUGUUAGGCUCGAGUCAGCUAGAGGUACACGGAACUUCCAGUGGAGCGGUGAAAUGUGUUGAUAUUGGAAGGAACACCGGAGGCGAAAGCGGUGUACUGGGGCUGGUCUGACGCUGAGGCACGAAAGCCAGGGGAGCGAACGGG
rnacentral:rRNA from 1 species